CAGGACAUGGCUGAGAUAGUUAAGCAUCUCCCUUACACCGAGAAGACAUCCAUGCAAGUUGGAUUAUCCUGA
rnacentral:tRNA from 2 species